rnacentral:lncRNA from 1 species
CUUUGCCAGCAUCUCUAGGAUAACAGCUUUUAUCAGCGAUGAGCAGCGUGCCCACAGCUGUGUGCAAGGGCUCAGCUGCCAGCCGCUGAUAAGAGCAGCGCUGAAUGCUGUGUCUGCCCCCAUCACCCCCUGCAAGCUGUUAUGUGACUCCAGCCCCUCUGAGGGUUGGGGGGCUUCAGGACCCAUGUAGCACCCUCUUCCCCUCUGCAAAGGCCAGGGCGAAACAUGACCACUAAUGAAUGGGGCACAGCGGUACCAGGCCACAGGACUUGAAGAAGCUAAUUUGGAACUGCAAGAGGAAGUUAAGGAGGUGAAAUGUGCAGCCUUAACUGCCUUGGGACCUGCCUUUCUCCCUGUAUCAUAAGCGACCUGUUGAAUCAAAAGGGAAGGGGGCUUGCUGGAGCCUCUCUGAGGUGCGGAUACUCCACCACCCAAGCUUGGAGUCUUGACUUUCCAGCUCCCGGUGAAGGACAGUUUGCACAGUUAUCUGCAGUGGCUUCUCCUCAAUCUUUGCACGGAGUCCCUGGCCGGGGUGCUGCCGGGUGUGGGCUGAGCCUCGCUACCGGCUCCCAUCUGGCCCUUUGGUUUAACAGCUUUUUCCCUCAAGGCUGUAACCAAGCUCCUGGGUGA